UACGAAGGGGGCUAGCGUUGUUCGGAAUCACUGGGCGUAAAGGGCGCGUAGGCGGCUUUAUAAGUCGGGGGUGAAAGCCUGUGGCUCAACCACAGAAUUGCCUUCGAUACUGUAUGGCUUGAGACCGGAAGAGGUAAGUGGAACUGCGAGUGUAGAGGUGAAAUUCGUAGAUAUUCGCAAGAACACCAGUGGCGAAGGCGGCUCACUGGACCGGAACUGACGCUGAGGCGCGAAAGCGUGGGGAGCAAACAGG
rnacentral:rRNA from 1 species